rnacentral:misc_RNA from 1 species
CAGAUGGGGAUAAGGGACAGGUGAAUCAUCGAAUCUUUGAACGCACAUUGCGCCCCCUGGUAUUCCGGGGGGCAUGCCUGUCCGAGCGUCAUUACAACCCUCAAGCUCAGCUUGGUAUUGGGCCCCGCCGACCCGGCGGGCCCUAAAGUCAGUGGCGGUGCCGUCCGGCUCCGAGCGUAGUAAUUCUUCUCGCUCUGGAGGUCCGGUCGUGUGCUCGCCAGCAACCCCCAAUUUUUUUCAGGUUGACCUCGGAUCAGGUAGGGAUACCCGCUGAACUUAAGCAUAUCAAUAAGCGGAGGA